CGACGAGAGGAAUGUGUCGCACAAAGUCGCCGUUGUGAAUCGUGGCACGGGGUUUAAUUUAACUCACGGUAUUAAUUCACUCCCUCGCUCCCUCGGCCACCCACUCCGGUUCCUGCUUAUAAAUUUGGGAAAGCCUGACUCGCACUCGAAAUAGUCUAGGAGCUCUCGACGGAGGAUGGACGGCGACGGCACUCGUAUUGAAUUUCAAAAUGGAUCAUAGCCUUAACAUCGAGAAUACAAUUGAGGGUCGUCGCUUUUUCACGAAAAACAUACACUUUCGGUGGAGGCGAUAGAGUGAUCGUCGAGUAUGUGACGAGUAUCUCGGGAUUAUUAUUUAUGCACGGCUGUCGCUAAGAAUUAUGACGCGUGACCAGAUUCGCUUUUCUACGUAAUACAAUCUGAAAACCUGUUUGCGACGGAGAAUGAUGUCAUUUUGCUUGCCUUUCUGAAAUUUUCCACUCUUCCCUCGGUAAUCUUAAAUUGAAAAUUUAAAAAUUUGGAAAAAAUUCACUUCCAUUCUUCCACUCAUUUUAAAGUAUUACUAAAUUAUACUUUUUGUCUCUCAAACGCGUAAUAGAAAAGAGAGAAAGGUCCAAAAAAUUAAAUUAUUAAUAGAUCCAAAAUACUGCUCCGAAAACAUAGCAACAGAUUGUAAUUAUUAUUAGAUGAGAUUAACCUCUUCCAACGUGUCUUUUGAGUUUGUUUUGGCAAAAUAUAGCUUGUUCGCAAUAGCACGAAUUGAAAUCGAAAAUAGCCGAAGCGCUUUAAUGCGCCAACAGAAGGAGGACACGUGAUAUUCGAAUGAUCUCGAAAUCGAAUAAUACUCUUCGAACAUUAGAGUUUAAUGGACUAAUUAAGCAGACGCGGUAAAACGACGAUGCGGCCGCGCGAAAGUGCGAGCGUUUAUAUCACCGGCUACGGUCCCAUAAUUUGUCGCGCCUUAUUUUGCGGCGAUCUAAUUGCGAGACAGAGCGGACCAAAGACAAUAGAAAAGUCAAACGAUAGAAAGUGAAAAAAGUCGUCCGGCACGGACGGAGCGACGGCCGACCAAAGCUGUCUCGUUCCACUGACCAGACGUACAAUCGACUAUGGGAUAACGAUCGGCCGAUUUACGAGACAAUGAUCAUGUUUGCAUAUCUUCGAAGCGUUAAAGGUAAAGCAGGCACCAGACGUAACGCGGCGUCUUGUCACCAGGUAAUCCCCGGGAUAAAAAAUUUGGCCCAUUCCGAAACGUGAGGCUUCCCGACGAUAGAAAAUACUGCCAACUCGAACAACGUAGGAUAUGAUGAUGAAUUAUGAGGGUGGAGGAACGUGGGUAACUUGGUUACGCAUGAAUACACGAUGUACGGAUGGGAUUGGAGAUGGACGCUACACGCCUUACAGAUCCCGAAAUAUUCGCGAAGGACAUAAUCGUGCGAGUGCACGUGGCGCGAUAUCGGCGCCGCUCCACCAUCUCGACACCCGCGAGCAGCGAACUUUAUAACAAGAAAUAUGAAGUACGGUAACGAGCCGCGACAUGGUUAUUUUCCCUCGGUUUGCAAUUUGCCGCCUAAUUCCUCUGAGGUGUCACGUGGUAAAGAUUAACUUGGAUCGCGAGCUCGCUCCUAAACGAAUUCUUCCCCGACGGAUUUCCUUCCGCCAUAUUUAUAUCUGGUGUCCGAUCAAAAUUGCGAUUUCGGUUACGGUUAUUUGCGGCCAAAAAUAAAAGUUUAAUUUCGGUUUCGGCCGAAAUUGAAAAAGAGCGUAAA